GUGGCAGACGGGUGAGUAACGCGUGGGAACAUACCCUUUCCUGCGGAAUAGCUCUGGGAAACUGGAAUUAAUACCGCAUACGCCCUACGGGGGAAAGAUUUAUCGGGGAAGGAUUGGCCCGCGUUGGAUUAGCUAGUUGGUGGGGUAAUGGCCUACCAAGGCGACGACGGGUAGCCGGCCUGAGAGGGUGACCGGCCACACUGGGACUGAGACACGGCCCAGACUCCUACGGGAGGCAGCAGUGGGGAAUAUUGCACAAUGGGCGCAAGCCUGAUGCAGCGACGCCGCGUGAGGGAUGACGGCCUUCGGGUUGUAAACCUCUUUCGCCAGGGACGAAGCGCGAGUGACGGUACCUGGGUAAGAAGCACCGGCUAACUACGUGCCAGCAGCCGCGGUAAUACGUAGGGUGCGAGCGUUGUCCGGAAUUAUUGGGCGUAAAGAGCUCGUAGGCGGUUUGUCGCGUCGGCUGUGAAAUCUGGAGGCUUAACCUUCAGCG
rnacentral:rRNA from 1 species